rnacentral:rRNA from 1 species
UACGUAGGGGACGAGCGUUGUCCGGAUUCAUUGGGCGUAAAGCGCGCGCAGGCGGUCCUUUAAGUCUGAUGUGAAAGCCCACGGCUCAACCGUGGAGGGUCAUUGGAAACUGGGGGACUUGAGUACAGAAGAGAAGAGUGGAAUUCCACGUGUAGCGGUGAAAUGCGUAGAGAUGUGGAGGAACACCAGUGGCGAAGGCGACUCUUUGGUCUGUAACUGACGCUGAGGCGCGAAAGCGUGGGGAGCAAACAGG